rnacentral:rRNA from 1 species
AACGAACGCUGGCGGCGUGCUUAACACAUGCAAGUCGAACGAAGAGCGAUGGAAUCUUGCUUCUAUCAAUCUUAGUGGCGAACGGGUGAGUAACGCGUAAUCAACCUGCCCUUGAGAGUUGGACAACAGUUGGAAACUACUGCUAAUACCGCAUACUAUCUAAUCUCGUCAUCGACGAUAGGUGAGAGGUUGUCUCUACGGUUAAGCUAUCACAAAACGAGGAUAUUGCGUUUGAUUGGGUAGAUGGUGGGCUAACGGCCCACCAAGGCGAGGAACAGUAGACGGCUUGAAAGGAGGAACGGCAACAUUGGGAUGGAGACAUGGCCCAGACCCCUAAGGGAGGGAGCCGUGGGGGACCUUCCGCAAUGGACGCAAGUCUGACGGAGCAACGCCGCGUGAGAGAUGGAGGCCUUCGGGUUGUAAAGCUGUGUUAAUCGGGACGAAAGGACUUCUUGCGAAUCGUGAGAAGGAUUGACGGUACCGGAAUAGAAAGCCACGGCUAACUACGUG